CCUACGGGCGGCAGCAGUGAGGAAUAUUGGUCAAUGGACGCAAGUCUGAACCAGCCAUGCCGCGUGCAGGAAGACGGCUCUAUGAGUUGUAAACUGCUUUUGUACGAGGGUAAACGCAGAUACGCGUAUCUGUCUGAAAGUAUCGUACGAAUAAGGAUCGGCUAACUCCGUGCCAGCAGCCGCGGUAAUACGGAGGAUUCAAGCGUUAUCCGGAUUUAUUGGGUUUAAAGGGUGCGUAGGCGGUCGGAUAAGUUAGAGGUGAAAUCCCGAGGCUCAACUUCGGAAUUGCCUCUGAUACUGUUCGGCUAGAGAGUAGUUGCGGUAGGCGGAAUGUAUGGUGUAGCGGUGAAAUGCUUAGAGAUCAUACAGAACACCGAUUGCGAAGGCAGCUUACCAAGCUACUUCUGACGCUGAGGAGCGAAAGCGUGGGUAGCAAACAGGAUUAGAUACCCGGGUAGUC
rnacentral:rRNA from 1 species